rnacentral:rRNA from 1 species
GACGAACGCUGGCGGCGUGCUUAACACAUGCAAGUCGAGCGGAAAGGCCCUUUCGGGGGUACUCGAGCGGCGAACGGGUGAGUAACACGUGAGUAAUCUGCCCUUCACUUCGGGAUAGCUUCGGGAAACCGAGAUUAAUACCGGAUACGACCAUGGAUCGCAUGAUCUUGUGGUGGAAAGUUUUGUCGGUGGGGGAUGUGCUCGCGGCCUAUCAGCUUGUUGGUGGGGUAAUGGCCUACCAAGGCUUCGACGGGUAGCCGGCCUGAGAGGGUGACCGGCCACACUGGGACUGAGACACGGCCCAGACUCCUACGGGAGGCAGCAGUGGGGAAUAUUGGACAAUGGGCGGAAGCCUGAUCCAGCAACGCCGCGUGAGGGAUGACGGCCUUCGGGUUGUAAACCUCUUUCAGCACAGACGAAGCGCCUCUAGGGGUGGUGACGGUAUGUGCAGAAGAAGCACCGGCCAACUACGUGCCAGCAGCCGCCGGGUAAAAC